rnacentral:rRNA from 1 species
UACGUAGGGUGCGAGCGUUAAUCGGAAUUACUGGGCGUAAAGCGUGCGCAGGCGGUUUUGUAAGUCUGUCGUGAAAUCCCCGGGCUUAACCUGGGAAUGGCGAUGGAGACUGCAAGGCUAGAGUUUGGCAGAGGGGGGGUAGAAUUCCACGUGUAGCAGUGAAAUGCGUAGAGAUGUGGAGGAACACCGAUGGCGAAGGCAGCCCCCUGGGUCAAGAUUGACGCUCAUGCACGAAAGCGUGGGGAGCAAACAGG